rnacentral:rRNA from 1 species
UACGAAGGGGGCUAGCGUUGUUCGGAAUUACUGGGCGUAAAGCGCGCGUAGGCGGUUUUACAAGCCAGAGGUGAAAUGCCUGAGCUCAACUUAGGAAUUGCCUUUGGAACUGUAUGGCUUUGAGGACGAGAGAGGUGAGUGGAAUUCCCAGUGUAGAGGUGAAAUUCGUAGAUAUUGGGAAGAACACCGGUGGCGAAGGCGGCUCACUGGCUCGUUUCUGACGCUGUAGCGCGAAAGCGUGGGGAUCAAACAGGAUUAGAAACCCCAGUAGU